rnacentral:misc_RNA from 1 species
UAAUAAGUGUUUUAUGGCACUUUUUAAAUCCAUAUCCACCUUGUGUGCAAUGUCAGUCGAUCUUCUUCAUGGAGAUCGACCAAACAUCAACCUUUAUUUUUAACAUCUUUGUCUGAAAAAUAUUAUGAAUAAACAAUUCAAAAUA